UUUGCCCUGCCUAAUCAAUUAUUUGUACAAUAAGUCCCAUUUUAUACUUAAGAUGGCUUGCAUAGGGUUUUUUUUGCCACUUGAAAAACGGAAAAACAUCAUGACCUACAUAUAUCAUGUUUCUGAUCUUGGCAAGAAAAAGAGAGUUUGUAGAUUAGAGAGCUGACCUUUGCCACACACUAUUGUUCCAGACCUUGGUUUCUGAACCUUGGCAUUAUUGCCAUUUUGGGCCAAAUAAUUCUUUGUUGUGGGGGCUGUCCUGGGCCUUACAGGAUGUCUAGCAGUGUCCCUGGCCACUGCCCACUAGAUGCCAGGAGCACCCCUGCCCCCCACAGUCCUGAAAAGCACAAAUGUCCCCAGACACUGCCAAUGUUUCCUGCAGGCCAAAACCACCUCUAGGUUGAGAAGCACUGAUCUAGAUAGAUCCACGUGGAGUUUCUCUUCAAGCUUGCUUCUUGGAUCUCAUUUUCUCAGCCGGAGUUAGGAACACGUGUGGAAGUGAAAGUGGAGGUCUUUUAGAACUUUUGUGCUGGCAGACAUGAUCCAUGGUGAUGGGCUUGGAGAGUUGGGGAGCUUCCUCAUCGAUCUGCCGCAGCAGCCCAGAGCGCAAGAGCUCUGUGUUUGGGAGCAUUUGUGAUAAGCAAUGAAAUUGGCCACCGAAGGUUGAGUUGUUUAGCGGUGAGGCUGUCAAGUGCUUCCUGAUAAGAGCCCUUGAUCUCCCAUUACAGCGCACGUCACCAGAGGCAGCAAUGAGCCCCACCACCUGGCACCACCGCUAAUGGCUUUGGCUUCGGCAGAGAGCGGUGUCAGGGCUGCAGACGGAGCACAGAUGGGAGUGGCAUCCUACAAGAUCCCCAGCUCAGCGCUCACUUUUGUAGUGAAGACAUGCUUUAAAAUCAUCGAGUGUGCCUGCCUUUGAGAUUUGCAAGAGGAAGCAAAGAGCACGUUAAUGAAACUUGGGAGGAAACUGAAUUUAGAGCUGCUGCAAACACAGAAGUAAUGAAAGCAAACAUAAAGAUGUUAGAAGUGUGGUCAGGAAAUUAAAAAAAAAAGAGCUACAGCUUGGAAAAUAGAUUUUGAACAUUCGCAAAGACUGAUUUGCUCCAGGACUGUCUAGAACCACAUUCCCAGAAGUGUAUUCUGGGAGCAUUAGUCCUACCAGAUGCUCUACCAAAUAAAGGACUCUUGGCCAAGCAA